rnacentral:tRNA from 2 species
CGGGCCAUAGCGCAGCUUGGUAGCGCACUUGACUGGGGGUCAAGGGGUCGCGAGUUCAAAUCUCGCUGGCCCGACUA